rnacentral:rRNA from 1 species
GACGAACGCUGGCGGCGUGCCUAAUACAUGCAAGUCGAGCGGACGGAUGGGAGCUUGCUCCCAGACCGUCAGCGGCGGACGGGUGAGUAACACGUGGGCAACCUGCCUGUAAGACUGGGAUAACUCCGGGAAACCGGGGCUAAUACCGGAUAACUCUUUCCCUCACAUGAGGGAAAGCUGAAAGAUGGCAUCUCGCUAUCACUUACAGAUGGGCCCGCGGCGCAUUAGCUAGUUGGUGAGGUAACGGCUCACCAAGGCGACGAUGCGUAGCCGACCUGAGAGGGUGAUCGGCCACACUGGGACUGAGACACGGCCCAGACUCCUACGGGAGGCAGCGGUAGGGAAUCUUCCGCAAUGGACGAAAGUCUGACGGAGCAACGCCGCGUGAGUGAUGAAGGUUUUCGGAUCGUAAAACUCUGUUGUCAGGGAAGAACAAGUACCGGAGUAACUGCCGGUACCUUGACGGUACCUGACCAGAAAGCCACGGCUAACUACGU